UACGUAGGGCGCAAGCGUUAUCCGGAAUUAUUGGGCGUAAAGAGCUCGUAGGCGGUUUGUCGCGUCUGCCGUGAAAGUCCGGGGCUCAACUCCGGAUCUGCGGUGGGUACGGGCAGACUAGAGUGAUGUAGGGGAGACUGGAAUUCCUGGUGUAGCGGUGAAAUGCGCAGAUAUCAGGAGGAACACCAGUGGCGAAGGCGCCGCUCUGGGCCGUGACUGACGCUGAGGAGCGAAAGCGUGGGUAGCAAACAGG
rnacentral:rRNA from 1 species